rnacentral:rRNA from 1 species
AUUGAACGCUGGCGGCAUGCCUUACACAUGCAAGUCGAACGAGAUCUUCGGAUCUAGUGGCAGACGGGUGAGGAACACGUGGGAACAUCCCUUUCAGUUCGGAAUAACGUUGGGAAACUAACGCUAAUACCGGAUACGUCCUUCGGGAGAAAGAUUUAUCGCUGAAAGAUUGGCCCGCGUCUGAUUAGCUAGUUGGUGAGGUAAUGGCUCACCAAGGCUACGAUCAGUAGCUGAUCUGAGAGGAUGAUCAGCCACAUUGGGACUGAGACACGGCCCAAACUCCUACGGGAGGCAGCAGUGGGGAAUAUUGGACAAUGGGCGCAAGCCUGAUCCAGCCAUGCCGCGUGAGUGAUGACGGCCUUCGGGUUGUAAAGCUCUUUUGUCCGGGAAGAUAAUGACUGUACCGGAAGAAUAAGCCCCGGCAAACUUCGUGCCAGCCGCCGCCGUAAGAC